GGCUAAUACCGGAUGUGCCGAAAGGUGAAAGAUUUAUUGCCUGAAGAUGAGCUCGCGUCUGAUUAGCUAGUUGGUGUGGUAAGAGCGCACCAAGGCGACGAUCAGUAGCUGGUCUGAGAGGAUGAUCAGCCACACUGGGACUGAGACACGGCCCAGACUCCUACGGGAGGCAGCAGUGGGGAAUUUUCCGCAAUGGGCGAAAGCCUGACGGAGCAAUACCGCGUGAGGGAGGAAGGCUCUUGGGUUGUAAACCUCUUUUCUCAGGGAAUAAAAAAAUGAAGGUACCUGAGGAAUAAGCAUCGGCUAACUCCGUGCCAGCAGCCGCGGUAAUACGGAGGAUGCAAGCGUUAUCCGGAAUGAUUGGGCGUAAAGCGUCCGCAGGUGGCACUGUAAGUCUGCUGUUAAAGAGCAAGGCUCAACCUUGUACAGGCAGUGGAAACUACAGAGCUAGAGUACGUUCGGGGCAGAGGGAAUUCCUGGUGUAGCGGUGAAAUGCGUAUAGAUCACGAAGAACACCGGUGGCGAAAGCGCUCUGCUAGGCCGUAACUGACACUGACGGGACGAAAGCUAGGGGAGCGAAUGGGAUUUGAUACCGCGGGGGGGCAGAUGCCC
rnacentral:rRNA from 1 species